rnacentral:rRNA from 1 species
UACGUAGGGGGCAAGCGUUGUCCGGAAUCAUUGGGCGUAAAGAGCGUGUAGGCGGUCCGGUCAGUCGGUUGUGAAAGUCAAGGGCUCAACCCUUGAAUGCCGGCCGAUACUGCCGGGCUAGAGUCCGGAAGAGGUGAGUGGAAUUCCUGGUGUAGCGGUGAAAUGCGUAGAUAUCGUGAGGAACACCAGAGGCGAAGGCGGUUACCUGGACAGUUACUGACGCUCAGGCACGAAAGCGUGGGGAGCAAAAGGG